UACGGGGGGAGCAAGCGUUGUUCGGAUUUACUGGGCGUAAAGAGCUUGUAGGCGGUCUGUCGCGUCUGCUGUGAAAAUCCGGGGCUCAACCCCGGACUUGCAGUGGGUACGGGCAGACUAGAGUGUGGUAGGGGAGACUGGAAUUCCUGGUGUAGCGGUGAAAUGCGCAGAUAUCAGGAGGAACACCGAUGGCGAAGGCAGGUCUCUGGGCCACUACUGACGCUGAGAAGAGAAAGCAUGGGGAGCGAACAGG
rnacentral:rRNA from 1 species